rnacentral:tRNA from 2 species
UGCCCAUUGAUGUAACGGCAACAUGACUGGCUCUGGACCAGUUCUUCCUAGUUCGAAUCUAGGGUGGGCAGC